UGGGGAAUAUUGCACAAUGGGGGAAACCCUGAUGCAGCGACGCCGCGUGAACGAAGAAGGUAUUCGUAUCGUAAAGUUCUGUCCUAUGGGAAGAUAAUGACAGUACCAUAGAAGAAAGCUCCGGCUAAAUACGUGCCAGCAGCCGCGGUAAUACGUAUGGAGCGAGCGUUGUCCGGAUUUAUUGGGCGUAAAGGGUACGCAGGCGGUUUAAUAAGUCGAAUGUUAAAGAUCGGGGCUCAACCCCGUAAAGCAUUGGAAACUGAUAAACUUGAGUAGAGGAGAGGAAAGUGGAAUUCCUAGUGUAGUGGUGAAAUACGUAGAUAUUAGGAGGAAUACCAGUAGCGAAGGCGACUUUCUGGACACAAACUGACGCUGAGGUACGAAAGCGUGGGGAGCAAACAGG
rnacentral:rRNA from 1 species